CCUCGCCGAUGCUGUAUAUCCGCGGCGAGGAGCUCAGCGUGCAGGACGUCACAGCAACACCGUCAGGACAAACGGCUGCCGCAUGAAGAGUGAGUCCCCUAUACUACACAUCCACAGGUGUUCAUCUCCACGGGCUUUAAUGCCGGAUGCAUCGAGGAACCAGGUCAGCUGGAUGUCAGUGAGAGAAGCCGGGAGAGAGCUGGCAGAGUGCCGGCCCCUAUCUGGGUAAAAGAGUGCAUCCUGGCCGAAGGUGAGAUGUCCGCUGUCUGCAGUUUGCUGUCCCGAGGCAGAACUCCGCCCCUUAAAGAGCAUCCCACUGCACAGUGGCACCACCAGUGUCGGCCGACAUGCUGCCCCACUCCAUCCAGAAGCUCUGCAGGGGAGUUUGUGACGUUUUCACUGUUGGGUUGAGAUUGUGUAUAUAUUCUCACUCAUGUGUAUUCUUAUGAAUGUAUAACUUGUUCCAUGUAGCAACUGUGUAAAUGCUUAACAGUAAUUUUCUAUCACGUGCAGCAGACGAGCCCACCUCUGCUGUACGUUCUGUUGUUCCUAUUUCCACUCCCACUUCCACAUCCCAUUCUAUCCCACUCGAAAUGUUGUUCACACCCACAAUGUAACCUGAUCACCUUAAAGUAUAAAUAAACCCUCUCGUGGUGCCACACCCUUGUAGCUACACUGCGGUGUGCACCCUUGCAAGUAAAAC